AUUGAACGCUGGCGGCGUGCCUUACACAUGCAAGUCGAACGGCAGCACGGGUGCUUGCACCUGGUGGCGAGUGGCGAACGGGUGAGUAAUACAUCGGAACGUACCUUAUCGUGGGGGAUAACGCAGCGAAAGUUGCGCUAAUACCGCAUACGCCCUGAGGGGGAAAGCGGGGGACCGUAAGGCCUCGCGCGAGUAGAGCGGCCGAUGUCUGAUUAGCUUGUUGGUGAGGUAAAAGCUCACCAAGGCGAUGAUCAGUAGCUGGUCUGAGAGGACGAUCAGCCACACUGGGACUGAGACACGGCCCAGACUCCUACGGGAGGCAGCAGUGGGGAAUUUUGGACAAUGGGGGCAACCCUGAUCCAGCAAUGCCGCGUGAGUGAAGAAGGCCUUCGGGUUGUAAAGCUCUUUUGUCAGGGAAGAAACAGCAGCUCUAACACAGUCUGCGAAUGACGGUACCUGAAGAAUAAGCACCGGCUAACUACGUGCCAGCAGCCGCCGUAA
rnacentral:rRNA from 1 species